ACGAACGCUGGCGGCGUGCCUAAUACAUGCAAGUCGAGCGGACCGACGGGAGCUUGCUCCCUUAGGUCAGCGGCGGACGGGUGAGUAACACGUGGGUAACCUGCCUGUAAGACUGGGAUAACUCCGGGAAACCGGGGCUAAUACCGGAUGCUUGAUUGAGCCGCAUGGUUCAAUUAUAAAAGGUGGCUUUCAGCUACCACUUACAGAUGGACCCGCGGCGCAUUAGCUAGUUGGUGAGGUAACGGCUCACCAAGGCGACGAUGCGUAGCCGACCUGAGAGGGUGAUCGGCCACACUGGGACUGAGACACGGCCCAGACUCCUACGGGAGGCAGCAGUAGGGAAUCUUCCGCAAUGGACGAAAGUCUGACGGAGCAACGCCGCGUGAGUGAUGAAGGUUUUCGGAUCGUAAAACUCUGUUGUUAGGGAGGAACAAGUACCGUUCGAAUAGGGCGGCACCUUGACGGUACCUAACCAGAAAGCCACGGCUAACUACGUGCCAGCAGCCGCGGUAAUACGUAGGUGGCAAGCGUUGUCCGGAAUUAUUGGGCGUAAAGCGCGCGCAGGCGGUUUCUUAAGUCUGAUGUGAAAGCCCCCGGCUCAACCGGGGAGGGUCAUUGGAAACUGGGGAACUUGAGUGCAGAAGAGGAGAGUGGAAUUCCACGUGUAGCGGUGAAAUGCGUAGAGAUGUGGAGGAACACCAGUGGCGAAGGCGACUCUCUGGUCUGUAACUGACGCUGAGGCGCGAAAGCG
rnacentral:rRNA from 1 species